CCUACGGGGGACAGCAGUAGGGAAUCUUCCACAAUGGGCGAAAGCCUGAUGGAGCAAUGCCGCGUGAAGGAUGAAGGUUUUCGGAUUGUUAACUUCUUUUGUACGGGACGAAGAAAGUGACGGUACCGUAAGAAUAAGCCACGGCUAACUACGUGCCAACAGCCGCGUUAAUACGUAGGUGGCAAGCGUUAUCCGGAUUUACUGGGUGUAAAGGGCGAGUAGGCGGGAUUGCAAGGUAGAUGGGAAAACUAUGGGCUCAAACGAUAGCGUGCAUUUGAAACUGCAGUUCUUGAGUGAUGGAGAGGCAGGCGGAAUGCCCGGUGUAGCGGUGGAAUGCGUAGAUAUCGGGCAGAACACCAGUGGCGAAGGCGGCAUGCUGGACAUUAACUGACGCUGAGGCGCGAAAGCGUGGGGAGCAAACAGGAUUAGAUACCCGAGUAGUC
rnacentral:rRNA from 1 species